rnacentral:lncRNA from 1 species
CGGAGUAGGGGCACCAUGAGUUGGUGGAUGUGAUGGUUUGUUCAUCAUGUGUAUGAUGUUUUAUUAUUAUUCACUUAUAUUUUUGCUUCAACUGGUCAAGUGCUCUUUCAUUGUAAUGCUCGGCCUUUGUUCAUUUUUUGACAACUACGCUUGAAUAAGUAGAUGUAUGGUAUGAUAGAUAUCGUGGUUGAGUUAUUUUAACAUUUAGUAUUUAUUUUAUGAUGUUGAGUGUUAAUCUUACUUUAAAAUUUUAAUAAAGAGAUAGUGGAUAAGUGGUAUCAGGUAUGAGUUAGUGGAUGUGAUAGUAUACUUAUUAAUCAUAUGGAUGAUGUUUUAUUAUUCACUUUUCUUUCUACUUUAAUUGUUUAAGUACUCUUUACUUGUAAUGUUUGGCUUAGGUUCAUUUUUAUAACUACCUAGGAUCAUAUUAGAUGUAUGGUUGUGACAGAGAUCGUGGACAAUUUAUUUAUUUUAUUUAGUUUAUUUUUUAUUGUGUUGAGUGUUAUUUAUUAUGGUGUUUUAUUUUUCGCUUUUCUUUGUGUUGCAACUGGUUAAGUUCUCUUUCAUGUAAUGCUUGGCUCUGGUUUAUUUUGCCAACUAACUCUAAAAUCAUAAUAAAUAUAUGUUCUGAUGUAGAUUGUGGAUAAGUUAGUUUUGUAUUUAGUACUUAUUUUAUUGUAUCAAGUGUUAAUCAUACAUUAAUUUAAUAAGGGGAUAGUGGAUUAGUGUCAUGAUGAGUUAGUGGAUGUGAUGGUAUGUUCAUCAUGUAGAUGAUGUUUUUUAUUCACUUUUCUUUGUGUUUCAGUUGAGGUGCACUUUGCUUGUGAUGUUUGGCUAUGCUUAAUAUUGAUAACUACCUAGAGUUUGAUGCAUGUUGUGGUAGAGAGGUUGGAUUAAUUAUUUUUUGUAUUUAAUAUUUAUUUUAUUGUAUUGAAUGUUAAACUUGCUUUUAAUAUUUAGGUAGUGGAUUUGUGGCAUGAUGACUUGAUGGAUGUGAUGAUAUGUUCAUCAUGUGGAUGAUGUUUUAUUAUUAACUUUUAUUUCUUCUGCAACUGUUAACGUUCUAUUUGCUUGUGAUGGUUUAUUGUGACAACUACCUAGAAUGAUAAUAGAUGUAUGUUGUGAUAGAGAUUGUGGAUGAGUUGUUUUUCUUAUUUAAUUAGUAAUUAUUUUAUUGUAUCGAGUAUUAGUUUUACUUUAAAUUUUAACAACGGGAUAAUGGUUUGUGGUAUGACGAGUUGGCCGAUGUGAUGGUAUGUUCAUCAUGUGGAUGGUGUUUUAUUUUUCACUUUUCUUUGUGUUGCGACUGGUUAAAUGCUCUUUCUUUCCAAUGCUUGGCUCUGGUUCAUUUUGACAACUCUAAAAUCAUAAUAAAUGUAUGUUGUGAUGUCUCGUGGAUGAGUUAUUUUUGUAUUUAAUACUUAUUUUAUUGUAUUGAGUGUUAAUCAUACUUUAAUUUAAUAGUGGGAUUAGUGUCAUGAUGAGUGAAGUGGCUAUGAUGGUGGUAUGUUCUUUGUGCUUAAGUUGAAGUUCUCUUUGCUUGUGAUGUUUUUGCUAAUUUUGACAACUACCUAGAAUUUGAUGUGUUGUGGUAGAGAUAUUGGAUUAGUUAUUUUUUGUAUUUAAUAUUUAUUUUAUUGUAUUGAAUGUUAAACUUGCUUUUAAUAUUUAGGUAGUUGAUUUGUGGCAUGAUGACUUGAUGGAUUUGAUGGUAUGUUCAUCAUGUGGAUGUGGAUGAUGUUUUCUUAUUAGCUUUUUUUUCUUCUGCAACUUACAUUUUCUUUGCUUGUGAUGGUUGGUUAUGUGGUUUAUUGUGACAACGACAUUAAUGAUGAUAAUAGAUGUUUGUUGUGUUAGAGAUCGUGGAUGAGUUAUUUUUCUUAUUUAAUAAGUAAUUAUUUUAUUGUAUUGAGUGUUAAUUUUAUUUUAAAUUUUAACAACGGUAUAGUGGAUUUUGUGGUAUAACGAGUUUGUCGCUGUGAUGAUAUGUUCAUCAUGUUGAUGGUGUUUUAUUUUUCACUUUUCUUUGUUCUGCAACUGGUUAAGUGCUCAUUCUUUGUAAUGUUUAGCUCUGGUUCAUUUUGACAACUAACUCAAAUCAUAAUAUAUGUAUGUUGUGAUAGAGAUUAUGGAUGAGUUAUUUUUUCAAUUUAGUAAUUAUUUUAUUGUAUCGAGUGUUAUUCUUACUUCAACUUUUAACAAGGGUGUAGUGGAUUACUAGUAUGAUGAGUUGGUGGUAAAUUUGAUAGUAUGUUCACCAUGUGGAUGAUGUUUUGUUUUUUAUUUUUAUUUUUACUAACAACAGUUUAAGUGUUGAUUGUUGAGAGUUUAUAAAUGAUUAGUACGCUUCCCCUUCCCCUCCCUGCACUUUCUCAAUUAGUCCCUUAUAAGAAUUUUAUAGUGUGUGAUUAAAAGUUACUGAAUUUGGGUAAAAACUAUAAGUAUGUGCCACCCUUUAUUUAUGGAAAAGUUUUAAAGUGUUUUUUUGGUUUGUGUUUACUUGAAACAUUAAGUUUCACUAACAUGUAUCUGGCAAAGUUUCGUAUUUAAUAUUUAUUAUUGUAUCGACUUUCUUUUAAUUUUUAUAACGGUAGUGGAUUUGUGGCAUGAUGACUAUGAUGGAUGUGAUGGUAUGUUUCAUCAUGGGAUGAUGUUUUAUUAUUAGCUUUUCUUCCUGUUUCAACUGUUUAAGUAUUAUUUGCUUGUGAUGGUUGGCUUUGGUUAAUUUUGACAACUACCUAGAAGAAUGAUAAUAGAUGUAAGUUGUGAUAUUCGUGGAUGAUUUUUUUUUUCUUAUUUAGUAAUUACUUUAUUGUAUUGAGUGUUAGUUUUACUUUAAAUUUUAAUAAUGGGAUAGUGGAUUUGUAGGUAUAACAAAUCGAUGUGAUGGUAUGUUCAUCAUGUGGAUGGUGUUUUUUUUCCCUUUUCUUUGUAUAUUGCAACUAGUGAAGUGUUCUUUCUUUGUAAUGCUUGGAUCCAUUUUGACAACCAACUCUAAAAUCAUAAUAGAUUUAUGUUGUGAUAGAGAUCGUGUAUGAGUUAUUUUUUCUAUUUAGCUUUUAUUUUUAUUAUGUUGAGUGUAUUAGUGGUAUGGAGUUGAUAGUAUGUUCAUGACGUGGAUGAAAUUUUAUUAUUUACUUUUAUUUUUACUUUUAACAGUUGAAGUGUGAUUGUUGAGAAUUAUAAGCGAUUAGUACGUCUCCCCCUCCCCUUCUCUAUGACUUCUUAUAAGAAAUUUUUAGUGUAGGUUAUUGAAUUUGGGUAAAAUCUAUGGGUAUGCCUAUGUGCCACCCUUUAUUUAUGCAAAAGUUUUAAAGUAAUUUGAAUUCUGGUUUGUGUUUACUUGAUACAUUAAGUUUCACUAACAUGCAAAUUUUGAGGUAUCAUGAGAGUAUCUGAUUUUUGACGGCGUUUCUGUUCUAAUAAAUAUUUGUACUUUUGAGGAGGUAGUGAGUAUUUACUUGUAGCUUUUAAGCUUCAACACUGUCUGGAAAUGAAUCCGUAAAUACUCUGGAAAUCAAAACAAAUAUAUGUUUAUUUUGAAAGGCAUUGUAACAUACUUUGGUAAAUGUCAAUACCAUCUAAGUCGGAUUUUGCCACAAAUUCAGCAAGGCUCAAUAUUAAUAAGAAGCAUAGUCAAAUAAUAAUUUUGUAACAAAUUUCUACUCACUACCUCCUCAAAAGUACAAAUAUUUAUUAGAACAACAACGCCGUCAAAAAUCAGAUACUCAUGAUACCUCAAAAUUUGCAUGUUAAUGUUUCAAGUAAACACAAACUAGAAAAGUACUUUAAAACUUUUGCAUAAAUAAAG